rnacentral:rRNA from 1 species
AGCAGCCGCGGUAAUUCCAGCUCCAAUAGCGUAUAUUAAAGUUGUUGCAGUUAAAAGCUCGUAGUUGAAUUUCGGGAUUGACACAUCGGUCGUGCCUUAAGGGGUAUGAACUGGUGUAGUCAAUUUCUCACCUUCUGGAGAACCGCGAUGUCCUUAAUUGGGUGCCGCGAGGAACCAGGACCUUUACUUUGAAAAAAUUAGAGUGUUUAAAGCAGGCAUUUUUGCUUGAAUACAUUAGCAUGGAAUAAUAAAAUAGGACGGCAUGAUUCUAUUUUGUUGGUUUCUAGGAUCACCGUAAUGAUUAAUAGGGAUAGUUGGGGGCAUUAGUAUUCAAUUGUCAGAGGUGAAAUUCUUGGAUUUAUUGAAGACUAACUACUGCGGAAGCAUUUGCCAAGGAUGUUUUCAUUAGUCAAGAACGAAAGUUAGGGGAUCGAAGACGAUCAGAUACCGUCGUAGUCUUAACCAUAAACUAUGCCGACUAGGGAUCGGAUGAUGUUAAUUUUUUAAUGACUCAUUCGGC